rnacentral:misc_RNA from 1 species
AUGUAUGAUCAACUUUUGGAGAGUGUACUUGUUGGGCCUGUUAACGUUGGAAACUAUCGUUUUGUUUUGCAGGCAGACCCACCAGAUCCCUCAAAGAUUCGUGAAGAAGAUAUCAUUGGUGUGACAGUGUGUUGACCUGCUCCUAUCUGGGUCAAGAAUUUGUUAGAGUUGGCUACUAUGUUAACAAUGAUUAUGAAGAUGAGCAGCUGAGAGAGGAACCUCCCCCGAAAGUUUUAAUUGAUAAGAUUCAAAGAAACAUUCUGUCUGACAAGCCAAGGGUCACGAAGUUCCCCAUCAAUUUUUAUCCUGAGAACACUGAAGGUGCUGAGGAGCCUCCUUCACAUGAUCAACCCGCUGAAACUGAUGGAAAUGAAGAACAGUUACCUCCUACUCAGGACCAUUUUUCAGAUAAAGAGGGACCUUGAAUCUAAUGACCAUUUUACCAACUGGUGGCAUUGCAAGUUUCCCUUUCAAGUUCAUAUCAUGACAAUCAAUACAAGUGAUGCCGUAGGCAGAUAUUUGGAUAAACGGCAUCUGGGCAACUAGUUUUCAACUUUACGAAAUGUUGAGAGGAAGCGAUGGCGGUUACCCUGGGG